AUCAAAGAAGCAGAACUCUAGCAUUUUCUCCUUGUCUGAGAAAGAGACUGGUGCCUUUCAAAAUGCACUUGACGUCCCCAAGCAGAAGAGUACAUCUAAAGCCUCAGGGAAAGUGCAAACCAGUGGCAGGAAGGCGCUUUCUGACAUUUCAAAUUCUGGGAAGCCAAACCGGAAUGAGGAAUCAAAGAAGAACUGCAAUGCAAAGUUAAGUGUUGUGGCAGAGGAGUCAAUCGAUGCCAAUGCAAUUGCAGAGGAAACGUUUCUGCACAAUCAUCAAGAAUGUAUCAAAGCACAAGCAAGAUCUAUGGGCUUGGAUCAAUUUCUAGAGACAAUUGGACUCGACAAUGGUAAACAAAAGUUGAAUCUUUUCUUUAUUUGGAAUUAUUCUGUAUCUUUUGUUCUUGCCUACUGAAGGAACACGUGUUUAUGAUUUUCUUCACCUUGUAAAUUAAUUAAUUCACAUAUUAUUUUCUUGUCUAGUUUUUUCCAAACGGCAGGCAAAUCAUAUGUCAAUUAAGGUGAAGGUCCAUCUGAUGUUUUCCUCUCAAAUCCUAUGUCAAUUAAGUUUUGUUGGGGAAUAAACUUUUGUUUCAUGGAUACGUAGUUUAUGUUUCAGGCUCAGAGUCCCCAAAGGCACUUGAAAAUGGAAGAGAUGAAGGAGCAGCUGUUUGAAGAUGGAUCCUGGAUACACAAUAUGUCUAGCAAACUUGAUUCUCCGCCUGCUUGCAGUACUCCAAAAUCGGCAAGGCAUUAUAUGCGUCUUGACUACAACUUCAAGUUGUUAGAAUCCCCAUAAAGGCGUAGAUGCCAAAGCAUUGACUUCCUUAUCAUCAAUGCUAGUCUGGAUAGGUGGUAAUUUUGCUGAAGUUAUGUGAUGUCAAUUUUUUUUUCUUUUGCAUUCUCCUUUUGGAAUGGGGAGAAAAUAUGCCUGACAAGGGCGGUAUACUGUUGUAGAAUAUUGCAGCGGUAGCGUGAGAGAAUUCUUUGGAGUUAAAACAAUGCCUGUUCCUUUUUUUGUUUUGUAUUUUGACUAAGCUUCAUAGAUAGGUAUGAUCAUUAAUUUAUUUGCUGCUAAAGUUAAGUUGUUUG
rnacentral:misc_RNA from 1 species